rnacentral:rRNA from 1 species
GUGCCUAACACAUGCAAGUCGAGCGAAGCACUUUACUUUGAUUCUUUCGGGAUGAAAAGUUUUGUGACUGAGCGGCGGACGGGUGAGUAACGCGUGGGUAACCUACCUCAUACAGGGGGAUAACAGUUAGAAAUGACUGCUAAUACCGCAUAAGACCACAGCACCGCAUGGUGCAGGGGUAAAAACUGAGGUGGUAUGAGAUGGACCCGCGUCUGAUUAGGUAGUUGGUGAGGUAACGGCUCACCAAGCCGACGAUCAGUAGCCGACCUGAGAGGGUGACCGGCCACAUUGGGACUGAGACACGGCCCAAACUCCUACGGGAGGCAGCAGUGGGGAAUAUUGCACAAUGGGGGAAACCCUGAUGCAGCGACGCCGCGUGAGCGAAGAAGUAUUUCGGUAUGUAAAGCUCUAUCAGCAGGGAAGAAACUGACGGUACCUGACUAAGAAGCACCGGCUAAAUACGUGCCAGCAGCCGCGGUAAUACGUAUGGUGCAAGCGUUAUCCGGAUUUACUGGGUGUAAAGGGAGCGUAGACGGAGUGGCAAGUCUGGAGUGAAAACCCAGGGCUCAACCCUGGGACUGCUUUGGAAACUGUCAAUCUAGAGUGCUGGAGAGGUAAGUGGAAUUCCUAGUGUAGCGGUGAAAUGCGUAGAUAUUAGGAGGAACACCAGUGGCGAAGGCGGCUUACUGGA